rnacentral:rRNA from 1 species
UACAGAGGUCUCAAGCGUUGUUCGGAUUCAUUGGGCGUAAAGGGUGCGUAGGCGGCGGUGCAAGUCCGAUGUGAAAUACCGGGGCUCAACCCCGGAACUGCAUUGGAUACUGCAUUGCUAGAGUACUGGAGAGGGAACUGGAAUUUACGGUGUAGCAGUGAAAUGCGUAGAGAUCGUAAGGAAGACCAGUGGCGAAGGCGGGUCUCUGGACAGUUCCUGACGCUGAGGCACGAAGGUCAGGGGAGCAAACGGG